rnacentral:rRNA from 1 species
UGCUCAGAUUGAACGCUGGCGGCAGGCCUAACACAUGCAAGUCGAACGGUAGCACAGAGAGCUUGCUCUCGGGUGACGAGUGGCGGACGGGUGAGUAAUGUCUGGGAAACUGCCCGAUGGAGGGGGAUAACUACUGGAAACGGUAGCUAAUACCGCAUAACGUCUUCGGACCAAAGUGGGGGACCUUCGGGCCUCACACCAUCGGAUGUGCCCAGAUGGGAUUAGCUAGUAGGUGGGGUAAUGGCUCACCUAGGCGACGAUCCCUAGCUGGUCUGAGAGGAUGACCAGCCACACUGGAACUGAGACACGGUCCAGACUCCUACGGGAGGCAGCAGUGGGGAAUAUUGCACGAUGGGCGCAUGCCUGAUGCAGCCAUGCCGCGUG